rnacentral:rRNA from 1 species
UACAGAGGUCUCAAGCGUUGUUCGGAUUCAUUGGGCGUAAAGGGUGCGUAGGCGGCGCGGUAAGUCGGGUGUGAAAUCUCGGAGCUUAACUCCGAAACUGCAUUCGAUACUGCCGUGCUUGAGGACUGGAGAGGAGACUGGAAUUACGGUGUAGCGGUGAAAUGCGUAGAUAUCGUAAGGAAGACCAGUGGCGAAGGCGGGUCUCUGGACAGUCCUGACGCUGAGGCACGAAGGUCAGGGGAGCAAACGGG